UUCUUUCAUCACCUUUCAUCUGUAAAGAGAAAAAAUAAAUCAUUUGUUUUAUUCUAUAAGUUCCAUUUCUUAGAUAAACGCAUUUAUUACAUUUUCAGACGCACUCACUUCACCAGACAUGAGUUUAAUGACCAUACGCAGGAUGAGCAACGCCCAGAAGAUGUGCAGCAGCAGCAGGACCACCAGCAUCCCGUUGAAGAAAUAAUAUCCAAAAAAUGGCUGAAAUUGUUCCAGAGGAUAAACCCAGAAAGGGAAGAUGAUCAGCCUGGUGACCAUGAAGACCACCGUGAAGAGGAUGAAGAUGGUGUUACAGGCUUGCGACCAUCCGGCGUAAUUGAACACCUUCCCCGACUCACAGAUAGAGAAGAAACAGUUCAACAACUUCAGUUACAUCUUCACAGAUGAUCUUCACCUGGGCUUAAAACCUUUACAACCUUCAUGGAACUUAUGUUUUAGUGUUUUUAGAGAAUGUCACUUUUUCUCACUACAUUUCCUUCUUUUUUGUAUUAUGGGUGUGUGAACUUCUGCACUGUGGUCACACGAUUCAUUUAUUUGCUGAUGACUCCACCUUCACCUGGCUCACAGAGAAGUAGUUCUCCCUAAGGAACCAGUCUGAGGAACUUCCUUUUCGGUUUAUAUUUGUUGUCACAAUCAAACACUACGAUCCAUCAGAGAUCUACGGUAACCUGAAUAGAGUUUAGACUGAAAUGUUCUGCUAUCUCUGACGUUUCUCUUCUUUUCCUACCUCCAAGAAAACAUCUGCAGCAUCGUGCACCAGCAUGACCAGAGUCCCGAUGCGGAUGUAGUUUGCGCACCAGGAGAAGGUCAGCAGGGUUAAAGUGGCCCAGUGAUGAACCAACUGCUCCUUAAAAUCCUACACACACACACACACACACACACACAUACACACACACACACACACACACACACACACACACACACACACACACACACACACACACACACACA